UACGUAGGUGGCGAGCGUUGUCCGGAUUUACUGGGCGUAAAGAGCGCGCAGGCGGUCGUACAAGUCGCGUGUGAAAGCCCCUGGCUCAACUGGGGAGGGUCACGCGAUACUGUUCGACUUGAAGGCAGGAGAGGGAAGUGGAAUUCCCGGUGUAGUGGUGAAAUGCGUAGAUAUCGGGAGGAACACCAGUGGCGAAGGCGACUCUUUGGCCUGUAACUGACGCUGAGGCGCGAAAGCGUGGGGAGCAAACAGG
rnacentral:rRNA from 1 species